rnacentral:tRNA from 1 species
UGGUUCAGAUGGUAGAGAAUCUGCCUUCAAUGCAGGAAACCCAGGUUCGAUUCCUGG